rnacentral:lncRNA from 1 species
AGUUGCCCUGGCUCAGCGACCACCCUUCAGGCUCCCCAACUCCCGUUGGUCCCGAACUCCCCUCCCCCGCACCCCAUCCUUUCGGAUCCCAGUUGCUCCAGGUGGGCGGGUGCUACCACCCCCACCGCUCGGUUCGGUGCUGCGGCUGUCAGUGCCCAGCAGGGGCGGGGUCAGUGGAGCCCCGCGCGGGGGUCGGAGUAGGGAGGAUUGACGAGGUCGGCCAGCACCCAACCCUCCAGACUUCGGGUCUUAUAGCACGAACCCCUUGAAGUCUGCGUGGGUACACACCACAGUAGAUUUUGGUGCUUUCCCAGCCUUCUUGGUAUAAAGUUACAGCAAGAAGACGUGAAAGGUUGGGAAAGGAGACCUCUGAUUCCAAGGACUCGUUCAAAAGAUGCUGAGACCGAGGCUUAAGCUUCAGGGCACCUCGGCCCCACCUGCUGGCCGGAGACGGUAGCGCUGCCCCAGCCGCUCAGUGCUUAUGGGGCUGGCAGAGGGAUGGGAUGGGGCUGGCUGGGAAGAAGAGGUCGCUGAGGCCCCGCCUGGGAGCUGCAGAGCUGGGGCAAACCUGGGGCUCUGGGCAGGUCUGCCCCAGGCAGUAUACUGUGGAGAAUGAAACUUUUCUAAAUGAUCAAUAAAAAAGCCAAAGUGGAG